rnacentral:rRNA from 1 species
AUGAACGCUAGCUACAGGCUUAACACAUGCAAGUCGAGGGGCAGCAUUGGGAUAGCUUGCUAUUCAGAUGGCGACCGGCGCACGGGUGAGUAACGCGUAUCCAACCUUCCUGCCAGUAGGGAACAGCCCGGCGAAAGUCGGAUUAAUGCCCUAUGUUCUUCAAUGCGGACAUCUAAGUUGAAGGAAAGAUUCAUCGCUGGCAGAUGGGGAUGCGUCCGAUUAGCUUGCCGGCGGGGUAACGGCCCACCGGGGCGACGAUCGGUAGGGGUUCUGAGAGGAAGGUCCCCCACACUGGUACUGAGACACGGACCAGACUCCUACGGGAGGCAGCAGUGAGGAAUAUUGGUCAAUGGGCGUAAGCCUGAACCAGCCAAGUAGCGUGCAGGAUGACGGCCCUACGGGUUGUAAACUGCUUUUAUGCGGGGAUAAAGUGCGGCACGUGUGCCGCUUUGCAGGUACCGCAUGAAUAAGGACCGGCUAAUUCCGUGCCAGCCGCCGC